UACGGGGGGAGCAAGCGUUGUCCGGAAUUAUUGGGCGUAAAGAGCUCGUAGGCGGCUUGUCACGUCGGAUGUGAAAUCCCGAGGCUCAACCUCGGGCCUGCAUUCGAUACGGGCUAGCUAGAGUACUGCAGGGGAGACUGGAAUUCCUGGUGUAGCGGUGAAAUGCGUAGAUAUGCGGAGGAACACCGAUUGCGAAGGCAGCUCGCUGGGACGUCACUGACGCUGAGACGCGAAAGCGUGGGGAGCAAACAGGG
rnacentral:rRNA from 1 species